UAAAGUGCGAUAUGUAGUGCGAUUUGCAUGAAUCUGUGAGUCAUCUAAUCUUUGAACGCAACUUGCGCCUCUCUGAGGCAUGUCUGUUUGAGUGCCGCAUACCUUUAUGCAGCAAUGCGAUUUGAUUAAUGUCUCCGGACUUGAUCUAAACGUAGCCAGAUAGUGGCCAGCGCUGCUAGUCCGAGUGCUAAGCAUUCUUGGAUCUAGCAACGCUUCCAUAUCAUAUCUAUUUUUUGGCCUCAAAUCAGGCAAGACUACCCGCUGAACUUAA
rnacentral:misc_RNA from 1 species